rnacentral:rRNA from 1 species
GACGAACGCUGGCGGCGUGCCUAAUACAUGCAAGUUGAGCGAUGAAGAUUGGUGCUUGCACCAAUUUGAAGAGCAGCGAACGGGUGAGUAACGCGUGGGUAAUCUGCCUUUGAGCGGGGGACAACAUUUGGAAACGAAUGCUAAUACCGCAUAACAACUUUAAACAUAAGUUUUAAGUUUGAAAGAUGCAAUUGCAUCACUCAAAGAUGAUCCCGCGUUGUAUUAGCUAGUUGGUGAGGUAAAGGCUCACCAAGGCGAUGAUACAUAGCCGACCUGAGAGGGUGAGCGGCCACAUUGGGACUGGGACACGCCCCAAACUCCUACGGGAGGCAGCAGUAGGGAAUCUUCAGCGAUGGACGAAAGGCUGACCGAGCAACGCCGCGGGAGUGAAGAAGGUUUUCGGAUCGGAAAACUCUGUUGGUAGAGAAGAACGUUGGUGAGAGUGGAAAGCUCAUCAAGUGACGGUAACUACCCAGAAAGGGACGGCUAACUACGUG